CAGCAGAGUUACUUUAAUCGUUUAGUUAAUAUAAUAAAGUCAGGUAUUCCAUGGGUUCCGUUAUCCGAAAGUAGAUGACGAAAUGUUUUGUGCCAAUAAAAAUCCUGCAAAGGGUUAAACACAGCUAUAAAAGGAGCGUUGGCCAAGGAUUCAGAGGAUCCGGACAAAGGUUUAAGAACGGCGAUGUCUAACGUUAAAAAUAAGGUUACGAAGCAAAAGAACAGAAACAAUAAUUGUACAAUUUUUGAAAAUCUAAAUAGUACCAUAUAAUUAAAAUGAAUUAAAAUGAAAUGAAUUAAA